GAAAAAGGCAGCUCAGACAACGGGAAGGACAGAAGGGUUUGCAGAGAGUGAAAGGAGCCAACGCAGGAUAGGGCAAGCCAGAGCAAACAGCUCUGGGCUGGGGUGGAGGUGGACUCUGGCAAAUGGAGAAGAACUUGGGAUGGAACUAACUCUCUGCCCCACCAAGGGCAUGGGGAAUAGCAAAGCCAAAGGGGGGCCAUCAAUUUUAAGCAAGAUAUCUCUUGAGGAAGUACUCGCUGCCAAGGGAGUCCAUGUUUCAUCAGCCAGUGGGCAGAUUUGACUGGAUUGCCAAAAGGGCUGGCUGGCCUCCGGGCUGCCAAUCAUUCCCCAAACCCUGAUCGGGCAGUAAAAAACCCAUGUGGAAGAGGGUUAGGGAGAAACAGGAGGAACCACGAGCACACAGCCAUCUCUGAGCCACAGCAUUUAGGAAAAUGCUCUCAACUUGGCAUGAUUGCAAGGGUUAAGUGAUUUGCCCUAGGUCAUGAAGCUUCUAACUUGGACAAGUCCCAUCAUCUCCCUGGACCUCAGUUCCCCCAUCUGUAAGAGGAGGGAGUUGAACGGGAUGCUUUCUGCAGUUCUUGUCAGUGCAGACAUUCUGCAGGUCUAAUCAAGGGCUUCUGAUCUGCCAAUUUCAUCUCCCUGGAUUACUGUGGUUAUCUGAAGACAGGCCCAAGGGAACAACAGAGCCAGAGGGCUGAUCUGAGAAAGGCAGAGCCUGCUCCUCUUUGAGAGCCCCCUGGAGCCCUUGCAGAGGCAUCCCCAGGCUUAGGAGGCAUCACUAUACAGGAGAGUCCAUUCCAGUUCCAGCGGGGUCCUCACCCUACCCCUACUCCCUGGGAGUCACACCUGUGAGCUCUUGGUGCAGGUCAGAUUCCUGAUCCUGGCUCCCUGCAUUUCAUUGUCAACCUAUGGCUGCACACACCACUGCAGAUGCUGAAGACACCGUCUUGGCCACAGGGAAGACUGUACUACUGAGACUACAAGACUGAGCCUGCCUUUUGAUUGGUCAAUGUUGCUUUUCCCUUGGUGGGAGAUGAACAAGAAAACAGACUGGGGACUCAAAACACACCAGGUGUUUAAUAGGUGGCUAAGUGAAUAGGCUUUCCAAAUUACAUGCCAACACAGCAGCUUGCCACAGCUUUCAGCCCACUGCUUGCACUAUGGUUUCUGGACUCAACAGAAAGGUCAAGGGAGUGCCAGCUGACUGUCACAUGGUCUGCAAGCCCCUGAUGGGAGGACCAAGUCAUCGACUCUAGCCUGCAUCUUAGCAUCUCCUGGGUUGAACUGACAAGCUGUUUCCAGCAUUCAGCCCCAGCAACUGUGAGUCCUGAAGCACUCCACUGUGCCCCUUGGCGAGCCUCUGCCUGCCCUCUUUAGCCUGACUCUGCUGUAGAUCAGAAAGGCAGGUUCAGGUCCUGGCCCUGGCACUGCCUUCCCAAGGGACUGGACUGGCUCCCUCCCCCAUGAGGAUAACUGCAGGGUGAUGGGGAGGUGAGUGCUUUGCCUCCUAGGAGGAAAGGCUACUAUGUGAUGCAAUGUCCACUCACUGUCAUUCCCAUAUUAGUACUGCACACAUCCCAGCACAGCAGCUUCAGAUACAUCCAGACACUUUCAGGGCUCCCCCCAGCCAGAUGGGAUGGCAUGGAACUGCUGGUGGCAACAGCAGAAGCACCUGUUGUGUGUGUGUGUGUGUUGCACAAGGACCCUUCUAGAGCUUGGCCCAUAUAUGUAUAGAAAACCACCUCUGAUGCUAUAUCUCCUAGUAAAUAGUGCUGUUUGUAAUAAUGUUUUACUCAGUGAUUACCAUAUGCAAGGUGUUAUACUAAACACUUGUCAUGACUUAUUAAUCCAGUGUUUCUCAAAGUGUGUCCCAAGGAACCCCAGCAGGAUCUCUGAGACCUUUUUCGUGUAUCUGUGAGGAGAGAACUAUUUUUAUAACAACUCUAACAUUUUCACUGUAAUGCUCUCACAAAUACACA
rnacentral:lncRNA from 1 species